rnacentral:lncRNA from 1 species
CAUCACCGCGGCACUUCGGAAUACAGGAACUGAAGUGAUUCCAUUAACGCGUCGCAGGGGACAUCAUCGAAAUUCCUGGUGUCCGUCAAUCCGGUCUUGUUUGCACUCUCAUGUGUACAAUUCUUGCCAGAUUUUUAUAUCAUCAGCAAUGACAAUUUCGAAAAUAAGUCAUAAGCUUUGACCUUUUGAAAUAUAAAUUAUAACGGAAAUCCCAUUGCAUUUUCUCUGAAGCUUUUAUUUCUCCAUUAAAAAUAAAAGGAAGAAGAAAAACAUUAUUAUUUAUUACUUAUUGCCCUUGUUCCUUGGUUACAUAAAAUAUGUGCAAUACAGGGGACAUAGGAACUUUGUUCUUUUAUUGAAAAUAAAAUUAAUAUGUGGACCUAGAUAGAAACUGUAAUUUACUGAUAAGCCUUGGAAUGAUCACACUCUAUUAUAGAUUAGUUUUUUUUCCACGUCGUCUUUGAUGUCACAGGAAACGAUAUCAGGAUAUGGUGGUUUAGUUGUCAGUUAUGUUGUUAGUCAGUUGUAGAAGCCAUCGCUCCUCUAGGCUCAAUUUCAGAUGAAACAUGUCCGAGGAUCUGUUCAUCGUCCUCUGCACUUGCCUUAGCCGACGACGUAAUCUUUUUACGAAAAAAAAUCGAGAACACUUUUCUGCGAUUUAUCCAUCUUGUUUUAUUACAUGAACUAAAUUAUCCUUAAUAAAAGACCAAGCAUACUUCAUCGGAAAUAAAUGGAUGUUAUCCUCAUAUCCUAACCCUUGUUACAUACGGAUACCUCCGAGUUUAACUGCUGCGAACAUAUCUUUAUUUAUAAUUUUUUCCUGUCAAAAUGAUGUGGAUGCUUGAGCAUCUGAGCAUACAUGCAAGCUACGCC